GGGCUGCAGUAUUUUGACUGUACAAAGGUAGCAUAAUCAUUAGUCUCUUAAUUGGUGACUUGUAUGAAAGAUUGGAUGAGAUAUAUACUGUCUCUAAUUAACUUGUAGAAUUUAAUUUUUUAGUAAAAAAGCUAAAAUAAAUUUAAAAGACGAGAAGACCCUAUAGAGUUUAAUAAUUUAUUUAAUUAUUAUUAAUAUAUAAUUUUUAAAAUUAAAAUUAAAUGAAAUAUUUUGUUGGGGUGAUWGAAAAAUUAAAUUAACUUUUUUAUAUUAUUUACAUUGAUUUAUGAAUAAGUGAUCCAUUAAUAAUGAUUAAAAGAAAAAAUUACCUUAGGGAUAACAGCGUAAUUUUUUUUUUUAGUUCAAAUAGUAAAAAAAGUUUGCGACCUCGAUGUUGGAUUAA
rnacentral:rRNA from 1 species